GACGAACCGUGCGAACGUUGUUCGGAAUCACUGGGCUUAAAGGGCGCGUAGGCGGCUUGUCAAGUCGGGGGUGAAAUCCGGCAGCUUAACUGUCGAAGUGCCUUCGAUACUGACAAGCUCGAGGGAGGUAGGGGUCUGUGGAACUUCUGGUGGAGCGGUGAAAUGCGUUGAUAUCAGAAGGAACGCCGGUGGCGAAAGCGACGGACUGGAUCUCUUCUGACGCUGAGGCGCGAAAGCUAGGGGAGCGAACGGG
rnacentral:rRNA from 1 species